rnacentral:rRNA from 1 species
UACGGGAGGCAGCGGUGGGGAAUAUUGCACAAUGGGCGCAAGCCUGAUGCAGCCAUGCCGCGUGUAUGAAGAAGGCCUUCGGGUUGUAAAGUACUUUCAGUCGUGAGGAAGGUGUUAAGGUUAAUAACCUUAGCAAUUGACGUUAGCGACAGAAGAAGCACCGGCUAACUCCGUGCCAGCAGCCGCGGUAAUACGGAGGGUGCGAGCGUUAAUCGGAAUUACUGGGCGUAAAGGGCACGCAGGCGGUUAAUUAAGUUGGAUGUGAAAUCCCCGGGCUUAACCUGGGAAUGGCAUUCAAGACUGGUUAGCUAGAGUCUUGUAGAGGGGGGUAGAAUUCCAUGUGUAGCGGUGAAAUGCGUAGAGAUGUGGAGGAAUACCGGUGGCGAAGGCGGCCCCUGGACAAAGACUGACGCUCAUGUGCGAAAGCGUGGGGAGCAAACGAGGAUUAGAUACCCG